rnacentral:rRNA from 1 species
AACGAACGCUGGCGGCAGGCUUAACACAUGCAAGUCGAGCGCCCCGCAAGGGGAGCGGCAGACGGGUGAGUAACGCGUGGGAACGUACCCUUUGCUACGAAAUAGCUCCGGGAAACUGGAAUUAAUACCGUAUGUGCCCUACGGGGGAAAGAUUUAUCGGCAAAGGAUCGGCCCGCGUUGGAUCAGCUAGUUGGUGGGGUAAUGGCCUACCAAGGCGACGAUCCAUAGCUGGUCUGAGAGGAUGAUCAGCCAAAUUGGGACUGAGACACGGCCCAAACUCCUACGGGAGGCAGCAGUGGGGAAUAUUGGACGAUGGGCGAAAGCCUGAUCCAGCAAUGCCGCGUGAGUGAUGAAGGCCUUAGGGUUGUAAAGCUCUUUUACCCGGGAUGAUAAUGACAGUACCGGGAGAAUAAGCUCCGGCUAACUCCGUGCCAGCCGCCGCCGUAACAC